rnacentral:rRNA from 1 species
ACCCGCACAAGCGGUGGAUGAUGUGGUUAAUUCGAUGCAACGCGAAAAACCUUACCCACCUUUGACAUGUACGGAACCCUUUAGAGAUAGAGGGGUGCUCGAAAGAGAGCCGUAACACAGGUGCUGCAUGGCUGUCGUCAGCUCGUGUCGUGAGAUGUUGGGUUAAGUCCCGCAACGAGCGCAACCCUUGUCAUUAGUUGCUACAUUCAGUUGGGCACUCUAAUGAGACUGCCGGUGACAAGCCGGAGGAAGGUGGGGAUGACGUCAAGUCCUCAUGGCCCUUAUAGGUGGGGCUACACACGUCAUACAAUGGCUGGUACAAAGGGUUGCCAACCCGCGAGGGGGAGCCAAUCCCAUAAAGCCAGUCGUAGUCCGGAUCGUAGUCUGCAACUCGACUACGUGAAGUCGGAAUCGCUAGUAAUCGUGGAUCAGAAUGUCACGGUGAAUACGUUCCCGGGUCUU